rnacentral:rRNA from 1 species
CCCUUAGAUGUUCUGGGCUGCACGCGUGUUACAAUCGGGAGUACAACAAGAUUGCAAAUCCUAGUGGAUGAGUGGUUCUUCGAAAUUUUCUGAAGACUGGGAUAGUUGAUUGAAAUUAUUCAACUCGAACGAGGAAUUCCUUGUAAUUGUAAUUCAUUAUAUUGUAAUGAAUACGUCCCUGCCCUUUGUACACACCGCCCGUCGCUCCUACCGAUCGAAGAGUUAGGUGAAUUGUUUUGAUCGAUAAGAUUUGACUAUGGUCAACUCUCGUUGUGAAAUUCUGUGAAUCUGACUGUUUAGAGGAAGGAAAAGUCGUAACA